GCCUAAAUCUAAGCUAAACAGCACUACAAAACAAAUCUUAAAACAAAGCCAAACCAUUUGCACUGAGCUAGUAAAUGAGAUUAAACACUAUCUUAAGCCUCCCAGUACCGCAGGGGAGCAAUGAAAGAGUAGUGAAAAACUCAAGCGCAGCGCAGCAAAGAUAGACCCUUGUACCUCUUGCAUCAUGGUCUAGCCAAACAACCUUAAACAAAGAGAACUUUAGCCUACCUACCCGAAACCAAACGAGCUAUUCCUGGUCAGCUUUUCAUUAGAGCACACCCGUCCCUGUAGCAAAAGGGUGGGAAGACCCAGAAAUAGAGGCAAUACGCCUACCGAGCUUGGUGAUAGCUGGCUACUCAACAAAAGAACCUAAGUUCAACCCUAGACUUCUCUUACACCAGGGCUACAAACCUAAGCCAAGCCCUUCCAUUAAGUCUAAGGAAAUUCAAUGGGGGUACAGCUCCAUUGACCCGGAAUACAAUCCGAACCGUGAGAAACUAACAGAUAGCCCUAAGUGGGCCCCAAAGCAGCCACCAAAAAAUGCGUUAAAGCUUCUAAUAAUGCUAAUUUAUAUCACUUAACUACCCUCCUAGCUCUAAGCGAGUAAUUUUAUCUGCCAAUAAAAACUCCCAUGCUAGAACUAGUAAUGAGAAGAAUUCUCUCAGCAUAUCCUUAUACCAGAAUCGAAAGACCACUGGUGAUUAACAGACCACAAAGGGGACUGACACACACUAUCUAGCCCCAAUGUCAUCUUACCACCUGUUACCCCAACACAGGUAUGCAGAAAAGAAAGGCAAAAUCCAACAAAAGGAACUCGGCAAAAUAUGGUCCCAACUGUUUACCAAAAACAUAGCCUUUAGCCUAACAAGUAUUAAAGGUCCCGCCUGCCCAGUGACCCUUCAACGGCCGCGGUAUCCUAACCGUGCAAAGGUAGCAUAAUCACUUGUCCCCUAAAUAGGGACUAGAAUGAACGGCUAAAUGAGGACUUAACUGUCUCUUGUAGGAAGCCAAUGAAACUGAUCUUCCCGUCCAAAAGCUGGAAUAUUACCACAAGACGAGAAGACCCUGUGGAGCUUUAAACCCUGACCACCAAACAUGUUCUCUCGGUUUUUAGUUGGGGCGACUUCGGAGCAAAAAACAACCUCCGAUAUGUACCUUAUCUAGAUUAACACAUCAAAAUAACUAACUUGACCCAGCAGUUCUAACUAGACUGUCUGACCCACGGACCAAGUUACCCCAGGGAUAACAGCGCUAUCCCCUUCUAGAGUCCAUAUCGACAAGGGGGCUUACGACCUCGAUGUUGGAUCAGGAGAUCCUAAUAGUGCAACCGCUAUUGAGGGUUCGUUUGUUCAACGAUUAAAGUCCUACGUGAUCUGAGUUCAGACCGGAGUAAUCCAGGUCGGUUUCUAUCUAUGUAGAACUAUCCCCAGUACGAAAGGACCGGGAUAGUAAGAUCCCUGCAAAAAGCACAUCUUACCAAAAAUUGCUGAACUUUUAUAAAGCAGUCACUGGGCUACCCAUUGACUCAAAAUAAGGGGUU
rnacentral:rRNA from 1 species